rnacentral:tRNA from 1 species
ACAGAAGUGGCGAAAUUGGUAAACGCGUUACCUUGAGAUGGUAAUCCACAUUUUUAAGGGUUCAAGUCCCUUCUUCUGUA